CGUGAGGAGCGCUGGAACGCAUAGAAGUGAGAAUGCCGGUAUGAGUAGCGCAAGACAGGUGAGAAUCCUGUCCACCGUAAGACUAAGGUUUCCAGGGGAAGGCUCGUCCGCCCUGGGUUAGUCGGGACCUAAGGAGAGACCGAAAGGUGUAUCCGAUGGCCAACAGGUUGAGAUUCCUGUACUAGAGUAUGAAGUGAUGGAGGGACGCAGUAGGCUAACUCGUGCGUACGAAUGGAUGUACGUCUAAGCAGUGAGGCGUGGUAUGAGUCAAAUGCUUAUACCUCUAACGUUGAGCUGUGAUGGGGAGCGAAGUUUAGUAGCGAGUGAGUGAUGUCACACUGCCAAGAAAAGCUUCUAGCGUUGUAUCAUACUCUACCCGUACCGCAAACCGACACAGGUAGUCGAGGCGAGUAGCCUCAGGUGAGCGAGAGAACUCUCGUUAAGGAACUCGGCAAAAUGACCCCGUAACUUCGGGAGAAGGGGUGCUGACUUUGGUCAGCCGCAGUGAAUAGGCCCAAGCAACUGUUUAUCAAAAACACAGCUCUCUGCUAAAUCGUAAGAUGAUGUAUAGGGGGUGACGCCUGCCCGGUGCUGGAAGGUUAAGAGGAGUGCUUAGCGGUAACGCGAAGGUAUGAAUUGAAGCCCCAGUAAACGGCGGCCGUAACUAUAACGGUCCUAAGGUAGCGAAAUUCCUUGUCGGGUAAGUUCCGACCCGCACGAAAGGCGUAAUGAUUUGGGCACUGUCU
rnacentral:rRNA from 1 species